GUGCGGUUUUUAGUUGCGGGAGUAGGAAUACUGAAACCUACUCUACCUUCUUGCCAUCUCUAGGAUCCUAUAAGAUAGUAUUCAUGUAGCAGAGGACUUAGCAUACAGAGGAAACCAGGUUCCAGAAAAAGCCAUUUGCAAAUGGAUUUGAGAAGUGCUGAGAAAAGGAGGAAUCUACUGCUAUGCCUUUUAUUGGAAAGAUCAUCUAUCCAUAUUUUGACAUAUUAG